rnacentral:rRNA from 1 species
CCUACGGGAGGCAGCAGUGAGGAAUAUUGGUCAAUGGGCGCGAGCCUGAACCAGCCAAGUCGCGUGAGGGAUGACGGUCCUAUGGAUUGUAAACCUCUUUUGUCGGGGAGCAAAAGACGCCACGCGUGGCGCUCCGAGAGUACCCGAAGAAAAAGCAUCGGCUAACUCCGUGCCAGCAGCCGCGGUAAUACGGAGGAUGCGAGCGUUCUCCGGAUUUAUUGGGUUUAAAGGGUGCGGAGGCGGAAGAUCAAGUCAGCGGUAAAAUUGAGAGGCUCAACCUCUUCCAGCCGGUGAAACUGGUUUUCUUGAGGGAGUGAGAAGGAAGCGGAAUGCGGGGUGUAGCGGGGAAAUGGACAGAUAUCACGGAGAAAUCCGAUUGCGAAGGCAGCAGACCGGCGCUCAACUGACGCUCAAGCAAGAAAGUGUGGGGAUCGAACAGGAUUAGAUACCCCUGUAGUC